ACUGGAUGUUGGUCUCAACUCGGAGAUCAGUGUCGAAGCUAACGCGUUAAGUUCGCCGCCUGGGGAGUACGGUCGCAAGACUGAAACUCAAAGGAAUUGACGGGGGCCCGCACAAGCGGUGGAGUAUGUGGUUUAAUUCGAUGCAACGCGAAGAACCUUACCUGGCCUUGACAUGUCUGGAAUCCUGCAGAGAUGCGGGAGUGCCUUCGGGAAUCAGAACACAGGUGCUGCAUGGCUGUCGUCAGCUCGUGUCGUGAGAUGUUGGGUUAAGUCCCGCAACGAGCGCAACCCUUGUCCUUAGUUGCCAGCACGUAAUGGUGGGAACUCUAAGGAGACUGCCGGUGACAAACCGGAGGAAGGUGGGGAUGACGUCAAGUCCUCAUGGCCCUUACGGCCAGGGCUACACACGUACUACAAUGGUCGGUACAGAGGGUUGCAAUACCGCGAGGUGGAGCCAAUCCCAGAAAGCCGAUCCCAGUCCGGAUCGGAGUCUGCAACUCGACUCCGUGAAGUCGGAAUCGCUAGUAAUCGCGGAUCAGCUAUGCCGCGGUGAAUACGUUCCCGGGCCUUGUACACACCGCCCGUCACACCAUGGGAGUGAGUUGCUCCAGUAGCCGUUAGUC
rnacentral:rRNA from 1 species